UACGGGGGGGGCAAGCGUUGUUCGGAAUUACUGGGCGUAAAGUGUGCGCAGGCGGCUUCGCAAGUCGAGUGUGAAAUCCCCGAGCUUAACUUGGGAAUUGCGCUCGAAACUACGGAGCUGGAGUGUGGCAGAGGAAGGUGGAAUUCCACGUGUAGCGGUGAAAUGCGUAGAGAUGUGGAGGAACACCGAAAGCGAAGGCAGCUCACUGGCGCACUCCUGACGCUGAAACACGAAAGCGUAGGUAGCGAAUGGG
rnacentral:rRNA from 1 species